UCCUACGGGUGGCUGCAGUGGGGAAUAUUGCACAAUGGGGGAAACCCUGAUGCAGCGACGCCGCGUGAGUGAAGAAGUAUCUCGGUAUGUAAAGCUCUAUCAGCAGGGAAGAAAAUGACGGUACCUGACUAAGAAGCCCCGGCUAACUACGUGCCAGCAGCCGCGGUAAUACGUAGGGGGCAAGCGUUAUCCGGAUUUACUGGGUGUAAAGGGAGCGCAGGCGGCCCGCUAAGUCUGAUGUGAAAGCCCGGGGCUCAACCGCGGGACUGCAUUGGAAACUGGCGCGCUGGAGUGCCGGAGAGGUUAUCUUGAUUCCUAGUGUGGCGGUGACAUGAUUAAAUAACAGAA
rnacentral:rRNA from 1 species